rnacentral:lncRNA from 1 species
AUGACGAGACUAUGGUUUAUAGUGACAGUACUUGUCUUUGUUUUGAAUCAUGGAAUUGCUACGCAGCCGAUUAUACAAAAUUCUGAUAUGAGAGUUUUUUGCCUGAUGUUUGCAUUACCGGGACGAAAAAAUGGUCCAGAUAUUAACGGGUUCAAGAAUCUAUUCGAUGCCCAACUCGAAAAAGUAGGCAAGAAUAUCUUCGGAAACAUUCCGCACAAUAAAAGAAUGGAAGAGGCCGGAAAUAUAUGCACAUUCAUGGACAGUUCGUCCCCAAAAUGUGCUUACCACAGGAUAACAACCAUUGGAAACCACGUGAUUGGUGAUCUAAGAAGACUAGAAAGUAACAUUGGAACCGGAUUCAAGGAUUCGUGGUACAUGUAUACAGUGCUUCUGUCCACUUGGUACAUGGACCGAGUCUUUCUUAAUCUUAAUUGUGGCCCAGUGGAUGUUAACACGCCUCGUCCGACAGCUCAGUGGGAGUAUGUAGCUAAAUGGAGUAAGCAGUUACUCUCCCAGAGAAAUUUCUGCACUUGGUCAAAACCGUUGGACAAAACAGUGGCACAAAAUCUACGUCAAGAAGUGAAGAAGAUUUGCGACUUUAGAGAAACAGAACCUAUUUGUAGACUAGAACCUGUUCUAGACUUAGUAGAUUCAAUGACAAAUCUAUGCAAUACUGUUCCCCAAACCGAAUGGCGAACUGGUUCAUCAAACUUUAAGUUCUUUAAAAGUGCAGCGUACAUCAAUUUCUAUAGUAUGAGGGUUAAAAUGCCGACACAUAUUGUUAACCUGUAUGACACCAGCACAAGAGAAGAAGCUGUUAAAACAGGAAUACUUAGCAUCUUUUUUCAACUGUAUGACGAUUUUAAAGCCAACGACCUAACGCUAGCUGUCAAACUGUUAAAGAUACUUCCCAAAAGUCAGUAUUUACCGUGUGAUUACAAUGCACCAUUUCCAUCAUUCAAAUGGUUGAUUUGCUCAUGCGCUAAGGUAUUUAACGAACUCCGUUUGUACCUUCAAACCUAUGGGACCGGUAACGCUGAUGUUUUACCUCGCAAAUUUUUGGUUUCAGAUAUUGACUUUCGGGAUUAUAUAAAGAAUUUAAAAGUUACUCAAAUAAAAGAGCUGGCAGAGAAGAAUGCAGUCAGUUUACAAGUCGUUGCUACGGAUAUAAAGAAUGAUGUACAACACCGAUUUCAACAACUUGGAUCAUACUUCAAGAAAGUGGACUCCUACCAGAAAGCUAAGCUAGAUGCUGACGUUGGCUAUCUUAAAGGUAGAAUUGCAGACUAUCAAAAACGAUUUGUCAAAUAUGUAGAUGAACUCAAGGUAAAACUUGAAAAAUUACUAAUUAUUUACAUUGGUAGUGCUAGGCAAGAUUUACUUCAAGCCGUAUUAAAGCUGGUGAUGCGUAUGGCACAGGCUGCAAAUCCAUUUAAAUGGCUGACUACUAGUGGCAAUUCCGAUAAAAUUUUGGAGUCCGCGACAGAAAUAGCUGUUGCAUCUAGACGUUUGACUCAUGCCAUUGGAAGUGCAGUCAAUUUUCAUAAACUUGUUGAUUACAGCAUUGAAAUAGCUAAGAAACUGGCAAAAAAUGAGAAGAUGAUAAAGAAUGUUGGCAAGAUCAUGGAUAAUGCUGCAAACAUUGUAGAGUCGUCUGGAAAUGGGUAUGACAUAAUGCAGUCAAAUUUUUUGAAAGACUAUACUGACUACUCCCCGCAAGUUACAAAAGAUGAUCUAGCUAAACUAGGUUCUUACUGGGAACUAUUUAUUGAAGAAAUAUGUGAGGGCAUUGCUUCCACAAGUAGUAUAGCUGCAAAUGCAAUACGAGGAAUUACUGGUGCAACUGGCAGGUGUCGUGAGGCAAAAAUUACCGCCGCACAAUUGGUAGCAACACAAGAGGAAGUAUAUGACCUCCAGUUUAACCUCAUGGAAACAAUGGCAAAUUUAAUGCGAAGCUUAACACAAAUACAAAGCUCUAAACUUCUCGGCGCAGGUCCAAAGGCUCAGCAUCCAAGUAGUUUAUCCAUUGACACUAUUAAAACAUUAGUAGCGGUUUCAUCGAUGUCGUACAAUAUUCUACAGACAACUAAUGUUCAAAUGCUGUGUAACAUUUUGGAAUAUAAGCGGGGACGAAAGCCACAGUUGUGUAACGGAUUGGCUACAGAUAUUGACAAGUUAUUAGCAUCUAGAGACAGCGAAUGUCACGCUGAAUUGAAAUUUAUAACAGUGUCAACACAAAGGACGAACAAAACUGGUGACUAUUCUUGGUUAGACCUUUCUAGGUUAUUCCGUGGUGAGACUGUUCCCUUCCAAGUACCAGACGUAAACUGGUGGAUGCAGCAUGGUCAACUUUUACCAUCACAAAGAAGUCAUAGCUUUUAUCUGACUGGGUUUGAAAUAUAUAUGCCGAUUGUUAGCGAAGACGCCCGUCCGGUAAAUAUUGUAUUUGUUUUAUAGUAAAUUUAAUAAUGUUUUGUUUUAUCAGUGUGAAAAACUGCAAUCGAAUAAUUUCUGAAAAAAACCUUUUGUUUACUUCAUUUAUGUGUUAUAACUUCCACUCGUCUUUUAAAGCUAGACUUUCAAAUAGAGAUUGUUCGUGGUAAAACAAAAAUGUGAAACGUAUUAAGCAUAGAAGGAAAAACAAUAUUUGUACUUCCUGUUUCACAUUUUGACAGGAUAUUAUAUGUCAGAUGAAUCCAAACGUCCAGUAUUAUAUUAGAAUAGUGUCUGAGAAUUUUUUUAACUAUUUAGAAAGGAAUGUGUAUCAUGGUUUGUUUUGACUAUCUUUUCCUACUUUACUUAAUUAUUUUCUUCGUUAGGUACUUGUGCAAGUCACCCCAACAAACGUCGACAACAAAUUGUUUCAAGAUGCGAAAACAAACUACAUCAUUUCACCGCUAAAACAGAUGACUGACCGCCUCAAGAUAUCAUACACAGAAGGUCACGGCUCAAGUUGCCGUCAGCAAAGAAUACCCAAUCCAUACCGAGUAUGUGGCAGGAAGGAACGAUCAUCUUUUCCACAGAUAUGCCAUAAUUCAAUAAGUAAUACUAAUUUGUAUUUGUAGUUUCAUUUGCUAUUUACAAUUACUGUACCGAGAUUAAGGAAACACGCAGUUCAGGGUAACCUUAUGUUUAGAAUCUAAUUAAAACACAAUCUAUCUAUUCCUGUAAAACGCCAGAACUUAAAUCCUCAAAUUAGUACAUAUAUGAAAUUUGAAAUUUUGCAAUAAGAUUCAUGGUUUCUAGUUAUUUGAAGUGUAAUCAUCAUUCCACAUUCUAAUUAUGUCACUACCGUAUCGUCAUCGAUAAACACAAUGCCGGUAUCAGGUCCGCUCGCGCCCAAUACACUUUCGCACCCUACACGUUCGCACCUCGCACGUUCGCACCCAAGGUCCGUUCGCACUCUACACGUUUGAGCCCAAUUUUAAUCAAAUUCCAGUAGAAUGAUUGGAAAAUCAUGAUUGCUGUUUUAGAUUGCUUUAAUUGAAUGUAUUUGGCUUGGUAUGAGUAAAAUUUUGAAGAUUUUAAAUGAAAAACACAAAAGAUAAUUGUGUUUAACAGCUUGGUCCCUUUGAUCUGAAACAAUGAAACAGAGACAUAUAAUACAAUUGUAUUAUAUAAUACAAUUGUAUUAUAUGUCUCUGAAUGAAACAAUAAAAUAUAACAAUACACUAUUAUAAUCAAAACGUGAUUAAAAAAAAAAUCAACACCCCCAAAAAAACGUAGUCAGAAAUUCAAUUUAUUUUGAAACAACUUGAAGUCAAUGAAACAAAGUUAUAGCAAUACACUAACCAAAACAUGAUGAAGAGUUAUUCAACACAAAAUAAAACGUUAACCGAAUCUCACUUUACUAGUAUUUAGAAGGUUUUUUUUUACAAUACACAUUCCAAAACAUGAAAAAGAUUUAUUCAACACAAAAAAAUGCUGUCUCACUUUAUAUUGAGAUAAUGACAACAAACAUACUUAUAAGAAUACACUUGCCAAAACUUGAUUACAAAGUUAUUAAACACAAAACCGAAUGAAAUUGGGCGCGAACAUGUAGGGUGCGAAAGUGAAAGGGUGCGAACGUGAAUGGGCGCGAACGUGAAUGGGCGCGAACGGACCCGGAUUCCACAAUGCCAAUAUCAGUAGAUAAGUGAAUGCCUGCAUAACAUCUGCAUUUAUUGCGCGAUUUACGAUACGUUACAACAACCUUGUGCUCACCUUAUGCAUGUACAAUGCACACUGGUAUAUUGAUAGUUACUUAUAUCAUAACCUUUUUACAAAAAAAGUAUUGUUUACAGGCGAUGAAGACAAAAGUAUACUGCUACCGUCAAUGUACUCAAAGUUUAAUUUACGAGUGGAGGGAUAUGAACAACUUCAUCUUGAUGAACCAGUCACCGAUGUUCCUCUGAAAAUUGGAAUCAAGGUCUGUUCAGUUGAUCCAUCUAGACCUCUGCAACGGCGGAAAAGAGAAAUUCAAAGGUAUGUAUAAUUCAGAAUUCUUCUCUUCGAUGUUGUGGUAAUCCAGAGACAGCCCAUGCAGGUUCAGUUAUUUAUUAAACAAAUCACUAAACAUCAAGUUCGGAGGUGACUGUAUGGCUUCUACAACAUUUUGAAGUGUUUUGUGAAAAAUCUCGACCAGUUAAGUGGUUUCUACUUUAACGUGAGUUCCGAUUAAGCCCAGAUAUUAAGGACUAUUGUAUAAUUUGAUGAAAAUAGACACUUCUAAUAUUAUACUACGUAAUCAAUUGGGAUCAUGACACAUACAUGUUUAAUCGAUUCUUUUAUUUUAAAAUACUUCGAAAUAAACUAACAAUCCAUGACAAAACAAUAAAAGGACCAAAAGGCAAACAACAGUAUACAAAACUCAACAAAGAAGACUGAGCAGUACGAACUAGUUGUCUUACCAACAUUUACCUGGUUUCCAUCUAAAAUUCUCAUUACAUACUACUAGUUUAUUCUAAAUUAAAAUAAAAUAUUUUAACCGGCGUCUUCGGUCUUCCAGUUGUGUUGAUUCGAGCCCUACAAGUGAGUCAUUUGAAGAACAAUUAUGUGUCUCACGUACUUAAUUAUGAGCCUUUUAUUAAUGAUAAGAUUCGCAUCCGUUCAGGUCUAAUUUACUGUUCUGUUCAUGUCAUGAUCUUUAACAAACUUUUAGUAAAUUAUCCGUUGAUUCACUUAACCUAUUAACAAAUGCUUGGGUUUGACUAUACUUGAUGAAAGUAAAUCCGAAACUAGAUUUUUGCGCACGACAUUAAUCAAGUAGUCUUCUUUUUGUCCUCCGAUGGCCGUGUUGACACUCAACGUCGCGUUCUGUAAACCUGUUUACAAUUAGUUUCAUGUAUAGAACACUGGUUUCAUAUCAAUUUUGUUCUCAUCUUUACUUCGGGUUUAAUUACAUUCACACCAGUAAUAUACAUGUACUAUACAUUGAAUUGAAUAAAUGUGUAGCGGAUCACAUCAUUCAGGCAGGCAUCAAAUUAUAAUAAGACGAUAACUCAAGUAUGCGGUAUAAAUAUGUAUCUUUUAUUCCUCAAAAUUACACUUAAUUUUGGCUUCUUAUACUCAUAUAUUAUAUCAACCGAUUCUCUACAAUAGAAUACAAAUACACAUAAACAUACAUCGUAAGUAAAAAUAUAACUUAAAACACUAAAAUCAUAAUACUAAACAAACAAUAGGAAACACUUUCUUUCACGCUUAAUGAAUAACUUGUUAAAGUAAAAAGUUAAUUGAAAUAAAUAUUACUUUAUAAGUACUUUUACAAUUCUUAAUAUUUCUUCUUUAAAUAAAUAUUGUUCUUAAAAAUGUGAACAUAAAUUAUUUCUUACCGAUUAUGAUCUCUCUAUGAAUAACGAUGUGUCUCCGUAAUAAAAUAAUUUGUAAUGAAUAAAAACUAGACAACGUAACGUACGUAAAAGCUAAACGUCAUAAAACUUUAAAAACGGGAAAUAUAACAAUUCAUAAGAGCGCAACGUUACAUGUAAGCGCAAAUACCCCAAAAUCGUAUCUACAAGUAUUACAAAUAAAAUAAAUAACUUCAGUAAUAAUUAAUGAAGUAACCCAACAAUUUGGAAUUACAUUUCAAAUCUAACAAAAUGUCUCUGUAAUUUUUGUAACAGCAGAACCAAUUCAUAUUCUUUUUAGAAAAAGGGUGUGGGAGCCGGUAUAUACAAUGUUAACAUUCCUUUCUUUUUGGUCAAAAUACGUUUGUUUCAGGGGGGAAGUGAUAAAAAUCGUCUGAUUCCAUUGAAAAGUAAGGGCAAGGUUUCCUGUAUGUUAUACAAUUAAGAUUGUUUUGGUUAUUUCAUUCAAGUAACCAAAGAAAUGGGUUGUCCCACGAAGAUGAACGAUCGGUUCCUUUAGAAAAGCGUUCUAAUGAUUAUAGAGUUUUUUAGAUGUCACAAUUACUUUUACUAAAGCAGCGUAAGAAUAGAGAAAACAGGAUUACGGACAUGAUUGAAUGACUGAUUGUCGGUUAUUUAACGUCCAGUGGCAAGUAUUUCAUGCAUAUUCAGGACGAGAACAAAUUAACAAUAUAUACAAUAUGUAGGUUCUGUACUAGAGUCCGUCCGGUUCGAAGUUCGGUGAAAUUUUGACUGGAAAAAUAGAAAGGAACACAAGUUUUGCCUCGCAGAAGGCCACCUACGGGCCCGUCAAAGAGUUGUUCCAAGGGUUCUUUACGUUACUCACCAAUUACAUAUACCAAUAACUUAUAACUCUUUAAAAUAACUUAUAUCUAUAACUUAUUACUCAUUAAUAACUCAUACUUAUAACUUUUUACUCACCAAUGACGUAUAUACUUGCAGCGUACGCAGACAAAGGUCAAGUGGAGAUUUAUGUUGUCCUCAGAACAAACAGUAUUACUCAGAGAUGACAAAACAAUGUGAAUCAUGUCCUGUUGGAUCACANNNNNNNNNNNNNNNNNNNNNNNNNNNNNNNNNNNNNNNNNNNNNNNNNNNNNNNNNNNNNNNNNNNNNNNNNNNNNNNNNNNNNNNNNNNNNNNNNNNNNNNNNNNNNNNNNNNNNNNNNNNNNNNNNNNNNNNNNNNNNNNNNNNNNNNNNNNNNNNNNNNNNNNNNNNNNNNNNNNNNNNNNNNNNNNNNNNNNNNNNNNNNNNNNNNNNNNNNNNNNNNNNNNNNNNNNNNNNNNNNNNNNNNNNNNNNNNNNNNNNNNNNNNNNNNNNNNNNNNNNNNNNNNNNNNNNNNNNNNNNNNNNNNNNNNNNNNNNNNNNNNNNNNNNNNNNNNNNNNNNNNNNNNNNNNNNNNNNNNNNNNNNNNNNNNNNNNNNNNNNNNNNNNNNNNNNNNNNNNNNNNNNNNNNNNNNNNNNNNNNNNNNNNNNNNNNNNNNNNNNNNNNNNNNNNNNNNNNNNNNNNNNNNNNNNNNNNNNNNNNNNNNNNNNNNNNNNNNNNNNNNNNNNNNNNNNNNNNNNNNNNNNNNNNNNNNNNNNNNNNNNNNNNNNNNNNNNNNNNNNNNNNNNNNNNNNNNNNNNNNNNNNNNNNNNNNNNNNNNNNNNNNNNNNNNNNNNNNNNNNNNNNNNNNNNNNNNNNNNNNNNNNNNNNNNNNNNNNNNNNNNNNNNNNNNNNNNNNNNNNNNNNNNNNNNNNNNNNNNNNNNNNNNNNNNNNNNNNNNNNNNNNNNNNNNNNNNNNNNNNNNNNNNNNNNNNNNNNNNNNNNNNNNNNNNNNNNNNNNNNNNNNNNNNNNNNNNNNNNNNNNNNNNNNNNNNNNNNNNNNNNNNNNNNNNNNNNNNNNNNNNNNNNNNNNNNNNNNNNNNNNNNNNNNNNNNNNNNNNNNNNNNNNNNNNNNNNNNNNNNNNNNNNNNNNNNNNNNNNNNNNNNNNNNNNNNNNNNNNNNNNNNNNNNNNNNNNNNNNNNNNNNNNNNNNNNNNNNNNNNNNNNNNNNNNNNNNNNNNNUGAAUCCGUUUUAGAAUAAUUAGGGUACUGUCUCGUUAAUGUAUACUAAUAAUGAUAAUGAUAAUAAAUUCUUUAUUCUACAUACAAUUGUAAAUCUCACACAAGGUCUUCGCAUAUUUAAAGAACAAUACCCUAACAUAGCAAUACUUUUUCCACUUAUCGUCCAAGCAUAUUAUCUAAUUGCUAUUAUCUUAUCUCUUUAAAAUGUGUGAUUUUUGUAGGUUUUCUAUUUGCAAAAAUACUGUCCUGAAUAAUUGUGUAAUAUAUGUUAGCUCAAAUUCUAAAUAAAAACACCACUAACCCUUUUUAUAUGUCUUGUUCAAACAAAUUAUGAAACAUAGAUUUUUUUUUGUUUUAGCCUAUUAUUCAUUCAUUGAUUGUUUGUUGUUUAACGCAAUUGGUAAAUGCCAUCCUGUAUCAAUUUAAUGGUCGACAAUUUACCAUCCGAUGUGAUGAAUACGAAGCGCAGUAGUUUUAUAUUGAAAGAUGAGAUAUGUGUUAGGUUGUGAAGAGAUAUUUUCAGAAUACUACGCGAAAGCGCAAUGAGUUAUAUGAAAUGUUUUUAUAUUUGGAGAUGUUAUUUAGCUGAAGACUAUCGUAAUGCAAUAUUAUACACUGUUCAUAUUUAAUGAAGAAACUGUUUUAACCAAACGAAUUAAAUCAUUCCUAACAAAAAGUAGUUUUCCCAUCCAAAAUGUUGUUGGAUGUCUUAAUUAAUUUCCUUUCAAUUUAUCAUUUUUUUCCUGAAAAUUUGACCUAACAAUCUUACACACAUUUCACUCUUGAAUGCUCAUACGCAUUUAUGAAUUGAUCUCAAGUUUUAAAAAAAUGUAAAAUUUUUGGUAGGGCAUGUAAAUAAAUGAACGCUGUAUAUGUGAAAGUCAGUUACAGACCUUAUGAAACAAAUAGUGUGAAAUAAUUGAGUUGCCCUGCAUAUUUUAGGGUAAUUGAUAUACAAUUAUAUUGAUCGGGCUAUACAUAUGAAUUAAUAUGAUAUCCUAUUGCUUGAUAUAUUUUGUUUUAAAUAUUGGCACCAAAAAAAAGUUAUUUGGUAGUAUGGUUUGUUGCUGUCAAAGUAAAGGAUAUAAUUAAUAUGUGAAAGUAAAACUAGAAUUUUCAGUUUUAAUCAAAUUUAGACACGUUUAACCUAUUCAAUAACUUUUACAAAUCAACAUGAACUUUCAUAAAACUCUACAUAUGUAAUUCUAAAUAGAUCUUAUAGAAUACCAAGUUGUGUUGAAGUUUUGUCUAUUGCUGUCAAAAAUAAGGAUUUAAUUCCUUAAAUGGCCCCAAAAUAUAGCAGUUUUACAAAAUUGUUAAAAUGUAAACUUUUAGUUAUUUAUUGGACAGUAGAAUGCUUCUGUUACAUAAACAUGUGCUGUUUUUGACAAUACAAUGCACAUAUAUCCGGUACUAGCACCAUUAAGUCAUGCUUAAUUACUGAAAUCUUCACAAUUCUAGCAUUUUAGUUAAAUUUUAGACGGUUUUCGUGUAAAAAGUGGCCGCAUUGUGUUCAUCCUUAAUAUUGAAAUGUAGUUGUUUGAUGAUAUACAUACAUAUAUAAAGGUUGAGGAUGAACACGGAUGGCGGCACUUCAUUUUUUUUCAAAACCAUCUGAAAAGUGACAUUUUCGGAUAUUUGGUAGAUUUUUCAUAUUUGAGCUUGAAUCGGAUCGUUUUUAAUGACUCCAUCAGAUAAAAUCUUUUCCAUUAACUAAUUAAUUAAAAUAAAAUAGACACAUAAGUAUUUAAAAAGUGGUCAAAAUCUUUCGUCAGAUGAACUUGAAAUUUGAGGCCAAAAUCGGUCCUUACCGGACCUACUCCUUUAAAAAAGCUAGAAUUUUCAUUUCGGACUAAAUUCAGGUAGUUACCUUUAGUAUGAUUUUAUUAGCUAAUCUGGCCAAAAAGAGCGUUAACUUUAAGAAAAGUCUUCUCCUGUGAAAUUACAGGAUGAAACCAAACUUGGCUCAAAUCAUUCUUAGGGUAUUUAAUUUAAAAAUGUAUCCGAUGACCCCGCCAAUGACCAAGAUGGCCUCCAUGGCUUGAAAUAGAACAUGGGGGUAAAAUGCAUUUUAUGGCUUAUAGCUGUAAAACAAAAGCAUUUAUAAAAAAUCUGACAAGGAUAAACAUAUUCAUCAGAACAAGAUCUAUUUGCCACAAAUUUUUCAGACACAUCAGACAACUCGCUGUUUGGUUGCUGCCUAUAAGUUGGUUAUUCUAAGGAAAUUUUGCAGUUUUUGGUUAUUAUCUUUAUCUUUAAAUUUUAUAAUAGAUAGAAAUAAACUGUAAAAAGCAAAAUUAUUCAGCAAAGUAAGAUCAACAAACAUGUCAACAUAACCAAAUGGUCAAUUCAUCCCAUAAAGAGUUACUGCCCUUUAAAGUCAACUUUCCCACCUAUUCGUAAAUUGUUUUAAGUUUUUCACAAAAAUCUCCUCUGAAACAACUUGGCCAAAUUGAACGCAACUUUGCCUAAAUCAUCCUUAGGGUAUCUAGUUUAAAAAAUGUAUCCGAUGACCCUGCCCAUCAAUCAAAAUGACCGCCAUGAUUGAAAAUAGAACAGGGGAUAAAAUGCAGUUUUUGGCUUAAAGCUCUGAAGCUGAAGCUCUAACAAUUGUCCAUAUAUACGUCAAAACUGUUAGACAAAUUCUAUAAUAUAUAAUUUUUUUUCAUUUCUGCUGAUUAUCAUGAAAACUAGGUUAUUUAAAGAGAGAAAUAUUUUUUUUCUGUUAGGCCUCAUUAUGAUAGAUAAAUAAACACUCUGAAUCACAACAAUAAUCAGCAUGGCAAUAUCUAUUAAUAAGUCAGAGAAACUAAACAGACUAAAAGAUCAGUAAUACAAGAUCAACAAAAUAGAGAUUUUUGUCAUGGUCUUUUCUUGUAUACAAUGUUGGAAAGUGUGCUUUGUGUGAUAUUCCCAUGAACCAAGGUGAGCGCCACAGGCUCUUUAGAGCCUCUAGUUGCAUGUACUUUUCAAAAUCAACUUGGAUGUUCAUGAAACUAAACAGGUAUCUCAAUAAUAUAUUGAGCAAAACAGAAUGCCAUGUUGGUUGGCAGUUUUAUGUAUUGCUGUCAAAUAAAGGGAUUUAAUUGAUAGGUAAAAACACAUCAACACUCGACUGCUUUCACAAAUACAAUCAAAGAAGAAAAACCCAAAUGUCAACAGAUUCUAGGAUCUACCAACACCCAACUUAUAUGAAAAAUACACACAAAACUUAGCAACAGAACACAAGAACUUUCAAUCAUCGUCCACAAAAUUACACACAAACAAAAAAAAUCAUCAAAGUACGACUUAAACCAGAACAACCAGCACUUGAUUCUUCUGACAAAAUACACGCAAACAAAGGCAAACAACAGACCGUUUGGACAACUUAUGCUUGUAAAAUUAACAGGACUACAUAUCUUAUUCUGUAUAUAAUAUCAACUAAUUAGACAGUAUCAGAAAUCUCUAUCCGUGCCUUAUCAUAUUAAACACAUUGUCACACAAAAUUGACAAAACUAGACAUUUAACCUGUACUAAAAAAUAGUCAAUCCAUUGUUAUCUACAAUCGACAGUACUAACCAUUUCUACCUGUAAAAUCUUCAAAACCGUACUUUCUUCUUUGUUCUUUGUUGGAACAUUAAUGUUCUACCUGAAUCACUUCAAUUGAUGAAAAAUGAAGCAUUUUUUAUUCAUGAUUUAAAUAUUUUUAAAAAGACAAUAACACGGAGAAUGCUUUUAGUCAUUGUUAUUUAAUAUUUUCUACUUAAGUUAUAUAUUAUCUGCCGAGCUUUUAAAAUGCAUCUUACCCGGCUAAAAAACAAAUAGAUCGAGAUUAAUCAUAAUGAGCUUGAACAAUUAUUUAACCCCAUGUGUCGCUUUUACAAUCUACAAAAACUGCACGUGUUUAAUUAUCAAAUUGACUUUUCUCAUUAUCUGUUUAAUUUGGCAAACAUUAGUUGAUUGUAUAAAACUUGAUGAAUUUGAAAAAAAAAGUAUUUGAAGUCACAACUUUAGAUGAACACAUUUCUCACCUGUUGUGUUUGGUCAGAUAUACAGUUCCCUAAUUUCACAUAACUUGGUUGAGAAGUGGUGUGUCAUUGCUGUAAAUAAUUUCGUUUUAGUGAUACACUAAGGCAUGGGGAAUUGAGAAUUUCAAAAUUAAAAUAAAAUAAUUGUGAUUUGUCAAUUCUCACUCUGAGAAAAACAUUGUUCUCACUCCUAUGAAGUUUAAUGUUCACAGUAAAUAUUACCUGCUUCACAUGCAGUAAUUUUUUCUUUGAUUACGAAUCAAAGGUACCUUGUGGUCUCACAAUUAGAAGAAUAUCAUAAGUUCCAGUUCUUUAAAAACCUAACAGUCUUUUAAUUCCUGACAUUCUUUUCAAUCCCAAAUGAUGAGAUAAUCAUAAAUACAUAUAUUUGUAUGUUAUUGACUUAAAGGAGUUCAUUUUUUUAAUUUCAAUUCAGUGGUUGUCGUAUUUUGCUUUAUUUCAAAUGUGUUUCUCGUUCAUGGCUUCGUACAUAAGUAAUGACUUCAGUUUUUCUCCUUUCAUUGUUUCACAUUUGUUAUUUUGGUUUGAGUUUAUGACUUUGUGGAAUGUUUUUAUUUGUCAUUAUUGAAGUCCGUGUUCUUGAGUUAUGUAUCUACACGAAUAGGGUCAUUUGAUUGCAGGUGUGCAUGGCAAUCACAUGUCAUUCUUGAAAAUGGAGACGCUCUUAGAUAUGAAUAUGUUAUAUCCGCUAGUAAACCUGGCUUAACAAUUUCAAGAUUUGUAUAUGAUGCCUCAUACAAUUUUUCAUUUGUUUCAAAGCCGUUAGUUUACGUUUCAAACCCGACUUAAGGUGGUACCCAACACCUUGACUUAAAUUGAUUUGGCUAGUUUUAAUUUCAUAAAAUUUUGACAAAAUAUUUACUUUGACCCUUCGAAAUUUUUUUUUUAAAAAUUCUGAAAAUUUGAACCAAUCACUUUCUCGGGAAAAAAAUGGUUGGAUAGAUAGCAGUUUGGCAAACACUUAUUUUGAUCAUUGAGAAGCUUAAUAGUUCCCUUACAAUACAACGUAAUUAAAACGCUUAGCCGAUUUUACAGAGUUAUCUCCCUGUAGUGUUAGGUACCACCUUAAUUGGUUUUACCUUUAAAAGACCAUCUGUUUGCUUUUCAUAAUAUAAAUCAAAACAUUAUUUCGAAUCUUUUUUUUUUCACUUAGUUCACGGACAACCUUACUUGCAGUUAUUGCCCCAAUUUUCUAACGAGAUCAUUCUUCAAUAGCAAAUUGACCCGUUGUCAUGUUUUCUAUGUUAUUCUAUCAGUUUGAGUGUAAGUUUAAUGAAUUAAGUUGAUGUUUUUAUUCAAUCCCUCUUGGUAAUAAUCUUCGUCAAUUGAUUAAAAUGCCUUGUUAGGUAUUUCAGAAAGCAUGAUAUAAUUUGUUUCAUUCGUUACUGGCAGAAACCUUGUUCCUUUGAUAUUUGGUUGUUUUACAGGUAUAAUUAUUGCUGAUUCCAUAAUGUUAACAAUUGGAGACAUUGAAUCUUUUAAUAAGCAUCCCUGAUGUCAUAUAGCAGUUAAUGGGUUAUGCCUCUCUUUAUAUAAAGAUACGGUGAAAUGUCGCUUAUAUAAGUAUUUAUACUGGAUGGUUUGUUAAUGUCUUCAUAUUUCUAAGAUUCAACCUUGACACGUCAAUAUAAACAGUUGUGUCCCUCUAUGGACUCUGUGUAUAUAAGUUUCAGUUUUUUUGUUUUGCAAAUCAAUAUUUUGCAUGAACAUAAUAAUACAAGUGCAUUUUUAAGUGUUUUUAUUUUGUUUGGGGGAGGGGAGGGGGGCUUUUUUUAUUUUUCUAUGUGUAUAGCAGAUCUAUUGAAUGCUUGUAACAAUGCUUGUAAUUGAUUUCUAUGGCUUUAUGUCUUAUUCUCUUUAAGCUAUGACGUUGUCGGUAUAUUUUCGUGCUGUUGAACAACGAUUGUCCCAUAUUAUGGUAUUAUUGAGCGUUCACAAACAAGUUAAAUUGGUGAAUAUUUAGGACAUUUCACGAACAGAUCGUGCAGGUGAUUUAAAACUAGCAGGCUAUAUUGCAUUAUACGUGUUAUAAGGAUUGUCUGUGAGGAAUACUUGCGAAGUUUGACUUUUAAUAAUCCAAUACCACCGUAUAUGCUAUGGCGAUUGUAAUAUCUUCAUUUUGAAAAAAAUAAAAAAAAACCUUCUUCAUCUCGUCGAAUUAAAAUGAUUAUUUCUCUUUCUGUUGAUGUCUCAGAAAAUAAUGUGGGGUGUUUCAAUUUGAAAUUAUUCAGCCAGUUGCAUCAAGUAUACAUUAAUUACAUUCACCUUGAUUUUAGUACAAAAAAAUUUUUUGAGUUGACAUUUCGUUUAAAGUAUGACAAAGCCUUGAACAUUCAGAUGUAGGUCUAGCAAUAUUAGAUCAAAAAUAAAAUAAUGAAGUAAAUCCUAAAAUUUAAUCGGAUUACUGAUUCAAAGUAACUGUUUAAAACACAUUUAUACUAUUCAUGUUUACUUGAGAUCUUGCCCCGAGCAGAUAGUAUGAGCCAAAAUUUGCUCCUAUGAACACAGUUCCAGUGUAACUUAUAUCACAGAAAAUAUGUUCUUGGAGAACUUUUUUCACAGACAAUUACUAUAUAAUUUGUUCCAUCUCUAUAAAAUAAGUUCCACACUUUACUUGAUGAAAUAAGAUGUCUUUUGAAUUUUUGUUAUAAUUAAGGACAAACGUAAUGUUAAGAAUACAAUAUGACAUUUUGAGAAGCGUUUUUGUUACAAGUUUGAACAGCUAUAUAUUUGAUAAAGAAUGAACGAGGAGUUUGUAUUUUAACUUGAAAUGUCAUAAAUACUAAAGUCAUCAAUUAAGUUUUUUUUAUUUGUUGCAAGUCCAUUUAUCACAUAAAUCUACAAUAAAAAUUCCUUGCAUCUUCGAAAAUUCUACAUCAGAAAUGAUUGCACUAAUAGUGAUAAUUCAUCGCAUCUAUAGUGAAAAUGGAUCGCUUUCAAUAAUCGAUAUGCUAUAUUGUGUUGCUUUUAUAACAAUUAUUUGAACUUGAAUGCUGUUAUUGUACACUAAAAAGACAUAUCACAAUGAAAAUAUGUUGAAACUUGCUUUCAAAUCAAUUAUUUUGAUAUUUUCGAAACGUAAACAAAUACCGUUUUCCCAUUAUCCUUUAUUCUUCAAUAGACAUUCUCGAAUAUGAUAGUGAAAAUGAACUAGCUGGAUUCACACUUUAUAUGCACUGUAAAAUAUCAUACCAAAUAAAAUUUAUUUAUCAGAAGGUAUUACCUUUUAACUAACUUUUAACACACACGGUUUGACACACCUCAACUUGUAAAAUAUGCAAAAGUUCUAAAUCCAAUGGACCAUGAUGAUUAGAAUGAGACUUGCAAAUGUUUAAACAAAUUCAUAUAAAAUUGCUUAAAAUAAGUAGUUUUUCUGAAACUAUUCUCAUCACAAAUAUUACUGCUGAAAUUUCAUAUAAAGUAAAACAGAAUAAUAUUGCAUUACAUGUGAAAGUUAACUCUUGAACUUUUGAGGUCAAAUAUAGAAUAGUAAGAUUAUGUUCUAAGAUUUAUAGAUGAAAAAAUUAACAAAUAAUCAUACAACUUUAUUGGAUGUUAACCUUACAAAUAACAUGCAUCAUUUCACAACCUUCAUCUGAAUAGGUGUUGUCUACCCUUCACUAUGCAGAUAGUUAUCAAAUGUAACAGGAUUACUAUUUGAUACGCCAGACGCGCGUUUCGUCUUAUUCAGUUUUGCAGAGUUAAACAUCUGCACGGAUGCAUUUAUGAAUGUCUGCUAGUUAAAAACAAUGAUUAUAGACUCUCAAGAGCCUCUGUCGCUCACCUGUAUAAAUUGUUGUUUUGAAAAUCAUGUAAAAUAAUGUUAAAAUCAUAAAGAUACCCUAAUAAUGAUUGAAACCAAUUUUGGUUUAAUUUCGCCCAGUAGUUAAAUUAAAAGCAUAGAAUUUUCGGAAAAAUUUACAAAACAUUACCAGUAAAUCGCAGAAAAUAACUCCAACAUGAUCUACUUAUAUUUUUGUCCAUCUGAUGAGUUAAUCCUUUUUCAACUGAUUUUUAUAGUUCGUUCUUAUGUUGUACUGUUAUACCACUGUCCCAGGUUAGGGGAGGGUUGGGAUCCCGCUAACAUGUUUAACCCCGCCACAUUAUUUAUGUAUGUGCCUGUCCCAAGUCAGGAGCCUGUUAUUCAGUGGUUGUCGUUUGUUUAUGUGUUACAUAUUUGUUUUUCGUUCAUUUUUGUACAUAAAUAAGGCCGUUAGUUUUCUCGUUUGAAUUGUUUUACAUUGUCUUAUCGGGGCCUAUUAUAGCUGACUUUGCGUUAUGGGCUUUGCUCAUUGUUGAAGGCCGUACGGUGACCUAUAGUUGUUAAUGUCUGUGUCAUUUUGGUCUUUUGUGGAUAGUUGUCUCAUUGACAAUCAUACCACAUCUUCUUUUUUAUAUGAUGUCAAUUUCCAAUUGGUCAAGUUAACUUAUUUUUUAGAUAUUUCUAUGCUUGACAUUUUUGCUGCUAACAGUACAUCUCAAUAUAUUAUGAUAUUCAAGAUGAUUAACCAAAAAAAAAUCAAAAUUUAUUUUACCCAGGCCUGUCUAAUCCUAAAAUGCCUUUAAGGGCAUACGAUACAGUUGCAGGGGAGGUAAUGACGUUGCUAACGUAAAUUGUUAUUUUCGCGACGUCAAACUAUGACUUAUCGGAAAAAGAUUCAGUUUUCGACAGAUUUUUUAUCAUUCAAACUAAUCUAACUUGAAAACGAGUUCAUGAACCUCUUUUUUAAAAUACCAUUUUGUUUGAUCACGCAAGAAGAUUAUUUUUGCCAUUUUUCCUGAAAACGUAAAUAGUGCAAUUUUUUGAAAUUUGAUAAAUAUACAGCAAAAAAUGAUGUUUUUUACUACAUUCAUUAACAUUUGAUAAAUUUGAGUUGUUUCAGAAUAUAAAAUGUAUAAACUUUUAGGAUAAUUAUAAAAUACAGAAAUUACAAAUUAUUUAACAAAAAACAAUUUGUGUUUAUUUUUUAAAACAAAAAAUUUAUGUCGUUCUUUCGAAAGGGAAAAUACGGCUACAAAUCCGAAUUUUAAUCAAAUAUACAAAAUUUCGACCUCAAUUUACUCAAAAAGUAGCACAUGAAGGUAUAUUUUUAUUACAUAUUUGAUUUAAUCAGGUAAAAAAUAGUCUAUAUGGAAAUUGUUAUCAAAAUGUAAAUACGGGAUCAAAACUAUAUCGUAUGCCCUUAAGUGUUUUUAUGGAAAACCCUUUAAAAGAAUUUGGCAGGGUUCUCCUGAUCACAACUAACCCGCCGGGUCUGCAGGGCAUUCACCCAAAAUAAGUAUACUGAAAGAAAAGGUAAAGUAAUAGUUAGUUUUGAAGUUGUGACCAUUUUUACAUUUGUUCCCAAAGACUUCUAUAGAAAACCCUGUGUUCUAUUUUACCAAUAGGGCCAUUGUGGUUAUAGGGCAGGGUCAUUGUAUACAUUUUUCAAUCAAUAAUUGAGGCUAAGAUUAAUUCUAUUUGGCCAUGUAGAGGAGAAGAUUUUUGUAAACAGAUUUACAGAAAAUAGGGAAAAAAAAUGAUUUUAAAGGGCAAUAACUCCUUAAGGUAUCUGGCCCAUUAUUAGCAAAUAAACAACUAGCAAAAUAAUUUACAUUUUUAUCAAGGGUUGUAAGUAGGGGGUCUAAAACAUCUUUCUAUAAAAUAAAAAAUCCGCAAAAAUAUUUGAGGUAAACAACAGAGCUGGGUUUCAAUGCCCCCUUUUUUUGUCCUCAAAUGUCUAAGUAGGGGUUUAAAAAUUAUGUAAUUUUAAGAAACAUAUAUAGUAUAAUUUACUAAUCUAUAUUCCGAAAGGAACCUUACAGUAAAUCCUUGUCAAAUUACACCAAAACAAAAGGUAAUUUGCUAUUAUUUGGUUUACUAGGUUCUCUAAGUUGAAAAACGUAUGGAACAAUUUCAUACAUCAGCCACACUGAACUUAUAAAUAUCCCGACAAGCCCGUACUUCAUCUCUCCUUUCACUAAUUUGUUGGUUAAAAGUAGUGAACUAAUAUUGAUGUGUGCAGAAUUGUAAAUUGUCGAAAAGAUUGUCCAUUCAACCAAUCAUCUCACAGUGGACCAAGUGUGAGACCUGUUAUCUUUCCUAUUUUCAACUAAUCGUCCUACGCCGGGGCAACAAAUUUAACAACCAGUUGCAUCCACAUCGCACACAUAAUUUCCACAAUCAUUAUUGUGUUCAAUCUCAUUAGUCUCCACAUGACAAAGAGACGAAGAGACGUAAAUCGGAGUACUUUAAUUGGUAAAACGCCCUUAUUUGUCUCGGCAACCUAUCGUCUCAUCAAUAUUAAGUUACAUUAACUUCUAUUUCCAGAUUGACUCAGAAUAGACAACGUUUAGAGACAAUGAGCGUUUACUUCAUUGUUUAGCCAUGGCGUUGUCCGUUGAUUUUCGACAUAUUAGUUUGAAUGUCCAUUUAGUAUAUUUAGCCCUUUUUUUUUUUUGUUAUCAUUAAGUCUGUUACAGAUUUUAGUUUGAAGUCGACAAUCUUUGUCAAUAUCGAUGACAUUGUCAAUUCAUGAAAUUAACUUUUUUCUUUCGGUUGUAUCCUUAUUCUAAAUUUACUUGGAAAUAUUAGAUAUUAGCACUCAUUGAAACGUGAAAAGUAAAAUAACAGAAAUACCGAAACUUAGAACAGAAAGUUCCUUGUCAGAUGUUAAAAUCAGAAACUCAAAAGAUCGAACGAAUGGUAAACAACUGUCAUAUUCUUGACUUGGUGCACACAUGUUGAACAUGAAGGACUAAAAACACGUUUAAUAGUUAUCUGUGUGGAUGCUGCUUGCAUUUGGCAAAUACUAAAAAAAAGGAAAGAGCUCGUUUUAGAAAAUUCAACCUACGACUGCCUGUUUGUGUAUUUUUCAUAUAGUUACGACCAAAAGACAAAAGAAAGUUCCAUUCAAAAGCAGAAAAUUCCUUCUUACUGAAGCUUUGUGCAUUUUUACCACAUGUGAUAAAAGUUCAUAAUAUUAUAAGUUUACGAUUAUUUUAUUCCCGAAAUCAAAGCGUUGGCAUCAGAAAAACAAAUAUGUAAUUUCUUUAAGUAGUCCUGUCACUGAUUCAAAUUCAAUUCAUAUUACUUUUAAACCUGUUUUCAGUUCAAAGAAAGUAUCUUAUAUAUUGUCCUGGAUGCAGGUAUGUUAAAGGAUACACUAAACCUCAAUAUGAAUCAACAUUACAAUAACCUUUAUAAUAAAUACGGAUGCACAUCUGUUUCCGGGAAUACAUGUUAUACUUAUCAAGUACUUGACAAAGCAACAGCUAACAAUUAAGAUUUAUACUUACUGAAAUAUUUUUUUUUAUAAAACCCUCGUAUAUAAUGUGUUACUUUAAAGUAUUAUAAAAAUCCUCCAGUAAUCAUAAAUCUUUAAGGGAAAAGGGCGCUCCUUCGCUUUAACUAAGUUUUAUGCUUGUAAGGGAACUAAAGCUAUUCAAUUUGAAGGAGCAAAAUGAAUUAAGGUCGUUACAUUUCUAUAAUAGUUUAUACCUUAAAGUAGACAUGUAUAGUCGUUCAACGAUCAUUAAUCUUUUUUUUUUUUUAUUGCGCUUUUAUAUUCACGCUCUUUCUGGAUAGUAAGCAUCGAUGUGUUCUGAUAUUUUAGUUCACUCUUUGUGUCAAACACAUGGAGUUUAUGACAGACAACUGAAUUUGAUUUUCUAAGGUGUCUGAAUACUACCAAAAAGGAACAACACGUUGAAAUUUGCUUGAUUUGGUAACUGAUCAGAUCACAGGGCAUUUACAAACAUAUAAAGUGUUUGCAACCACACACAAAUUCAUUUUUGUAUCGAAUCAUUUCCAAACAUUACAGUUAUAUUGUCAAUUUUGAUAUUAAAAAUCUAGAAACGAACUGUUGCAAACACACUGCUGAAAGAUCUCUAUAACUGUGUUGAAUUGAUGUUAUUUUAGAAUAAGUUUUUUCCAAGAUUCGAUUAUCCGAAUUGUAUCUUAUUUUACGGGCUUUGUAAACAACAUGAUCGUAAAAUUUAGUAUGUUUACACAGUUUCCGCUACUUAUUUACAAUAUUUGGAAAAGUGAAAAUACAUUUUUUCUAUGCUGUAUAUACUCCAAACUACAUGUCUGUUUACACAGUUUUGGUUGAUGGGUGCUUAUAUUGUCACCUUAACUUAUUAUGUCUGAUUUUUGGAUCUCCUGAUUUUUCGAUGUAGCGGAGCUGUAUAACCAGGCUUUAUCCAUCACGUUCUUCAUUAAUAACAGUGAUGUAGCGGAGCUGUAUAACCAGGCUUUAUCCAUCACGUUCUUCAUUAAUACCAGUGUUGUAGCGGAGCUGUAUAACCAGGCUUUAUCCAUCACGUUCUUCAUUAAUACCAGUGAAGUAGCGGAGCUGUAUAACCAGGCUUUACCCAUAACGUUCUUCAUUAAUGGCAGUACAAAGUCUGGAAUACGACUUAUGUUUCCAUUUAUUCCUUUGAUUAAUAUAGUCGAGCGUUGAGUUUUGUCAGGUUUUAUUGCUUUCCUCCUUUUUGAAUCAACCAUGUUAAUUCUUCUUUAUAUCAUAUUUGUCAAUUAAACUCUUGGAGGUUAAAGUCACUCAAAUUUGUUCUACAAAAUAGAUAUAGGAAGAUGUGAUAUGAGAGCCGAUGAGACAUCUCUCCAUCCAGGUAACAAUCUAUAAAUGUAAACCCUUAUUUGUCAAGGUCCGGCCUUUAACACGGAGCCUUGGUUCACACGUGCACCGAUCAGCAAGCUAUAAAGGGCCCAAAAUUGCUAGUGUAAAUUUAUUCAAAAUGUAUGUAUGAGGCCGUCUUAUUGUUAAGAUAUCAAUGUGAGCCGAUUUGACCAUUAGCAUUGUUUAAAGAGUGUAUAUAAGGACUUCCACAAACAAUGAAAGACCAAAAAGUAUAAUAUAGAAGUAAAUUAAAGUAAUCACGACUAGUAUUGUAUUGUAAAAGAUAAUAUAAAUUCAUUAAUUGCCAAUAGCGGGAAAACCAAAACAUGUUACAAAUAGUUGUCCGGAACACUCCAUAUAUCGCCCGGAAAGAUGAUAUAUCCCUUCAAUAUAAAUGUUUUAUCAUAAAGGAAACAGACUUUCCGAGUCUAAUCUUGCUUACGUUAACAAAUAUAUAUAGAGACAUUUGUGGUUUCUUUUUAAAAACUAGAAGUUUAACUUAAUUAUUUGUUUCGGAGCUUGUAUUUGUAUAAUUACUUGGACGACAAAUCCCAAACCACUUUUACCACUUAUGUGGUAGAUAGCGGAUAUUUUUAAAUAAAAGGUGAGAAAUUAUUUAGUUAUGUUCAUGUUUAUGGGUCUUAUUUUUUAAGUUAAUACAGUAAUUAAUAAAUUGAAACCAGAUUUCCAAUAUUUUUUCCAAUAAACAUACAUUUGAAGACAGCAAGACAAAAUGUUGAUAGUUUUAACGAAAAGAAAUCACAAUCGGGCACAAGAUUUGAACGACUCAAUUGUAUGAGGCAAAAACUAUCGACGAAUACAAAUGCUGAAAGAGGAAAGUCGACCUCUUUAACUGUUUCGUAAUAUAUUUCUUUAAACAAAAAUAGUUAUGUCUUCAUGUUUAGCUUCUCAUAACUUUUGACUGUAAAAACAUGUUUUGUUUAAUAAAUCCACAAACAAUGACAUGGAAUAACAAAAUUAUUUUCAAACGACAAACUUGAAAAUUAUUAAAUUCAAUUGUUGAUUACUUUUGGUAUUAAACUGGAUAUUCAAACAGAGAGACCAAUAUCCGCAUUUCGAAAGCUCAAAUAACAAUAGCAUAAACGAAAUCGUGCAUAACAACUGUUAUUUCUACACUUUAAAGAUUACUUCUAGGAGCUUAAUUAGGUUACCUCUGAUCUUCUAUAUGAAUUACCUUUGUUCCUUACUUAUUGACUGCAUUACAAUAUUUGAGUACAUUGAAUUGUAAUGACAGAAAAGGCUUUCUUCAAUUUGAGCUGCUCUUAUUUAUAUACUUUAAAUUAUGAUGUUCCUGUUUUCAUUUCAAAAAUCUCAUUAACUUUACAGAGAUGACGGGACUAUGGUUUAUAGUGACAGUGUUUGUCUUUGUUUUUAAUCAUGGAAUGGCUACGCAGUCGAUUAUACAAAAUCCUGAUAUGAGAGUAUUUUGCUUGAUGUUUGCUUUACCAGGACGAAAAAAUGGUCCCGAUAUUAACGGCUUCAAAAAUCUAUUCGAUGCCCAACUCGAAAAAGUAGGCAAGAAUAUCUUCGGAAACAUUCCACACAGUAAAAGAAUGGAAGAGGCCGGAAAAAUAUGCACAUUCAUGGACAGUUCGUCCCCUAAAUGUGCUUACCACAGGAUAACAACCAUUGGAAACCACGUGAUUGAUGAUCUAAGAAGACUUGAAAGUAACAUUGGGACCGGAUUCAAAGAUUCGUGGUAUAUGUAUACAGUGCUUCUGUCGACGUGGUACAUGGACCGAGUCUUUCUAAAUCUUAAUUGUGGCCCAGUGGAUGUUAACUCGCCUCGUCCGACAUCUCAGUGGGAGUAUAUAGCUAAAUGGAGUAAGAAUCUACUCUCCCGGGGAAAUUUCUGCACUUGGUCAAAACCGUUGGACAAAACAGUGGCACAAAAUCUACGUCAAGAAGUGAAGAAGAUUUGCGACUUUAGAGAAACAGAGCCUAUCUGUAGACUAGAACCGGUUCUAGACUUGGUAGAUUCAAUGACAAAUCUAUGCAAUACUGUUCCGCAAACCGAAUGGCGAACGAGUUCAUCAAACUUUAAGUUCUUUAAAAGUGCAGCGUACAUCAACUUCUAUAGUAUGAGGGUAAAAAUGCCGACAAAUAUUGUUAAUCUAUUUGACACAGGCACAAGAGAAGAAGCUGUCAAAACAGGAAUACUUAGCAUCUUUUUUCAAAUGUAUGACGAUUUUAAAGCCAACGACUUAACGCUAGCCGUCAAACUGCUAAAGAUACUUCCCAAAAGUCAGUAUUUACCGUGUGAUUACAAUGCACCAUUCCCAUCAUUCAAAUGGUUGAUCUGCUCAUGCGCGAAGGUAUUUAACGAACUCCGUUUGUACCUUCAAACCUAUGGUAAAGGUAACGCUGAUGUUUUACCCCGUAAAUUCUUGGUUUCAGAUAUUGACUUUCGAGAAUAUAUAAAAAACUUAAAAGUAUCUCAAAUAAAAGAGCUCGCAGAAAAGAACGCUGUUAGUCUUCAAGUCGUUGCUAUGGAUAUUAAGAAUGAUGUACAACACCGAUUUCAACAACUGGGAAAAUACUUUAAGACAGUAGCUACGUACCAAAAAGGUAAGCUAAAAGCAGACGUUGGAUAUCUCAAAGGCAGAAUUGAAGAUUAUCAGACGAGAUUUAACAAUUAUGUAGAAGAUAUCAAAGGAAAACUAACAACAUUACUUGGGCUUUACAUAGGUACUGCUGCGGCAGAUUUAGCUCAAGCCGUAGCAAAGAUGGCAAUACGAGUGGCAAUGGCUGGAAAUCCAUUUAAAUGGCUGGCUGGUAGUGGGAAUGCCGAUGAUAUUUUGGAGUCCGCGACAGAAAUAGCGGAAGCAUCCAGACUUCUAACUCAUGCUAUUGGUAGUGCAGUCAAUUUCCAUAAACUUGUGGAUUACAGCACUAAAAUUGCAACAAAACUGGCAAACAAUGAGAAGAUGAUAAAGAAUGUUGGCAAUAUUAUGAAUAAUGCUAUGAAGAUUGUAGAGUCAUCUGAAAAUGGGUUUGAAACAAUGCAGUCCAACUUCUUAAGAGACUACAAUGACUAUUCCCCUCAAGUUACAAAAGAUGAUCUAGCUAAGCUAGGGUCUUACUGGGAACUAUUUAUUGAAGAAAUAUGCGAGGGUAUUGCCUCCACGAGUAGUGUUAUUGCAAAUGAAAUAAGAGGAAUUGCGGGUGCAACUGGCAGGUGUCGUGAAGCUAAAAUAACCGCCGCACAAUUGGUAGCAACACAAGAAGAAGUAUACGACCUUCAGUUUGACCUCAUGGAAACAAUGGCAAAUUUAAUGCGAAGCUUAACACAAAUACAAAGCUCCAAAAUUCUCGGAAAUGGUCCAAAAGCCCAACAUCCAAGUGGUUUAUCCAUUGACACUAUUAAAACAUUAGUAGCAGUUUCGUCGAUGUCGUACAAUAUAUUACAGACAACUAACGUUCAAAUGCUGUGUAACAUUUUGGAAUAUAAACAGGGACGAAAGCCACAGUUAUGUAACGGAUUGGCUACCGAUAUUGACAGGUUAUUAGCCUUAAGAGACAGUGAAUGUCACGAGGAAUUGAAAUUUAUAACAGUGUCAACAAAACGGACGAACAUAACUGGUGACUAUUCUUGGCUAGACCUUUCUAGGUUAUUUCGUGGUAAAACUGUUCCCUUCCAAGUACCAAGCGUAAACUGGUGGAUGCAACAUGGUCAACUUUUACCAUCACAAAGAAGUCAUAGCUUUUAUCUGGCUGGGUUUGAAAUAUAUAUGCCGAUUGUUAGCAAAGACGCCCGUCCAGUAAAUAUUUUAUAGUAAAUUAAUAAUUGGUUGUUUCAUCAGUGUAAAAAAGUUCUGAAAAACACAUUUUAAUCAGUUUACUUCAUUUAUGUUUUAUUACUUCCAAUCGUCUUUUAAAAACUAGACUUUCAAAUAGAGAUGUAAAACGUAUUAAACAUAAAAGGGAAAAAAGUUAUCUACGUCCUGUUUUACAUUUUUUGUCAAGAUAUUGUAUGUCAGAUGAAUCCAAAUGUCCAGUAUUAUUUUAGAAUAGUGUCUGAGAAAAAUUUGAACUAUUUAGAAAGGAAUGUGUAUCAUGGUUUAUUUUGACUAUCUUUUCCUACUUUACUUAAUUAUUUUCUUCGUUAGGUACUUGUGCAAGUCACCCCAACGAACGUCGACAACAAAUUGUUUCAAGAUGCUAAGACAAACUACAUCAUAUCACCGCUUAAACAGAUGACUGACCGCCUCAAGAUAUCCUACACAGAAGGUCAUGGUUCAAGUUGCCGGCAGCAAAGAAUACCCAAUCCAUACCGAGUAUGUGGCAGGAAGGAACGAUCAUCUUUUCCACAGAUAUGCCCUAAUUCAAUAAGUAAUAAUAAUUUGUAUUUGUAGUUUAAUUUGCGGUUUGCAAUUACUAUACCGAGAUAUAGGAUACACGCAGAUCAGACAGCAACUUUAUGUUUAGACUAUUUUGGAUCUUAUUAAAAAAAACAAUCUAUCUAUUCCUAUAAAACGCCAGAACUUAAAUACUCAAAUUGGUUUAUAUUUGAAAUUUGAAAUUUUGCAAUAAGAUAUAUGCUUUCAAAUUGGUUGAAGUGAAUUCAUCAUUCCUCAUUCUAAUUAUGUUACUACCGUAUCGUCAUCGAUAAACACAAUACCAAUAUCAGUAUAUAAGUGAAUGCCUGCAUAACAUCUGCAUUUAUAGCACGAUUUACGAUACGUUACAUCAACCUUGUGCUCACCUUAUGCAUGUUACUUAUAGCUUAGCCUUUUUAUAAAAAAAAGUAUUGUUUAUAGGCGAGGAAGACAAAAGUAUACUGCUACCGUCCAUUUACUCAAAGUUUAAUUUACGAGUGGAGGGAUAUGAACAACUUCAUCUUGAUGAACCAGUCACCGAUGUUCCUCUGAAAAUUGGCAUCAAGUUCUGUUCAGUUGAUCCAUCUCGACCUCUGCAACGGCGGAAAAGAGAAAUUCAAAGGUAUGUAUAAUGCGGAAUUCUUCUCUUCGCUGUUGCAGUAAUCCAGAGACAUCCCAUGCAGGUUCAGUUAUUUAUUAAACAAAUCACUUAACAUCAAGUUCGGAGGUGACUUUAUGGCUUCUACAACUCGACCAGUUAAGUGGUUUCUACUUUAACGUGAGUUCCGAUUAAGCCCGGAUAUUGAGGACUAUUGUAUAAUUUGAUGAAAAUAGACACUACUAGUAUUAUACUACGUAAACAAUUGGGAUCAUGUCACAUACAUGUUUAAUCGAUUCUUUUAUUUUAAACUACUUCGAAAUAAACUAACAAUGCAUGGCAAAACAAUAAAAGGACCAAAAGGCAAACAACAGUAUACAAAACUCAACAAAGAAGACUGAGCAGUACGAACUAGUUGUCUUACCAACAUUUACCUGGUUUCCAUCUAAAAUUCUCAUUACGUACUACUAGUUUAUUCUAAAUUAAAAUAAAAUGUUUUAACCGGCGUCUUCGGUCUUCCAGUUGUGUUGAUUCGAGCCCUACAAGUGAGUCAUUUGAAGAACAAUUACGUGUCUCACGUACUUAAUUAUGAGCCUUUUAUUAAUGAUAAGAUUCGUAUCCGUUCAGGUCUAAUUAACUGUUCUGUUCAUGUCAUGAUCUUUAACGCACUUUUAGUAAAUUAUCCGUUGAUUCACUUAACCUAUUAACAAAUGCUUGGGUUUGACUAUACUUGAUGAAAGUAAAUCCGAAACUAGAUUUUGGCGCACGACAUUAAUCAAGUAGUCUUCUUUUUGUCCUCCGAUGGCCGUGUUGACACUCAACGUCGCGUUCUGUAAACCUGUUUACAAUUAGUUUCAUGUAUAGAACACUGGUUUCAUAUUAAUUUUGUUCUCAUCUUUACUUCGGGUUUUAUUACAUUCACACCAGUAAUAUACAUGUACUAUACAUUGAAUUGAAUAAAUGUCUCUGUAAUUUUUGAAACAGCAGAACCAAUUCAUAUUCUUUUUAGAAAAAGGGUGUGGGAGCCGGUAUAUAAAAUGUUAACAUUCCUUUCUUUUUGGUCAAAAUACGUUUGUUUCAGGAGGGAAGUGAUAAAAAUCGUCUGAUUCCAUUGAAAAUUAAGGGCGGGGUUUCCUGUAUGUUAUACAAUUCAGAUUGUUUGGUUAUUUUAUUCAAGUUACCAAAGAAAUGGGUUGUCCCACGAAGAUGAACGAUCGGUUCCUUUAGAAAAGCGUUCUAAUGAUUAUAGAGUUUUUUAGAUGUCACAAUUACUUUUACUAAAGCAGCGUAAGAAUAGAGAAAACAGGAUUACGGACAUGAUUGAAUGACUGAUUGUCGGUUAUUUAACGUCCAGUGGCAAGUAUUUCAUGCAUAUUCAGGACGAGAACAAAUUUACAAUAUAUACAAUAUGUAGGUCCUUUACUAGAGUCCGUCCGGUUCGAAGUUCGGUGAAAUUUUGACUGGAAAAAUAGAAAGGAACACAAGUUUUGCCUCGCAGAAGGCCACCUACGGGCCCGUCAAAGAAUUGUUCCAAGGGUUCUUUACGUUACUCACCAAUUACAUAUACCAAUAACUUAUAACUCUUUAAAAUAACUUAUAUCUAUAACUUAUUACUCAUUAAUUACUCAUACUUAUAACUUUUUACUCACCAAUGACGUAUAUACUUGCAGCGUACGCAGACACAGGUCAAGUGGAGAUUUAUGUUGUCCUCAGAACAAACAGUAUUACUCAGAGAUGACAAAACAAUGUGAAUCAUGUCCUGUUGGAUCACAGAGUUACUACAACGGCCUGUUUUGUGGUGAGUAUAACAAUGUGAAUCAUGUCCUGUUGGAUCACAGAGUUACUACAACGGCCUGUUUUGUGGUGAGUAUUACAAUGUGAAUCAUGUCCUGUUGGAUCACAGAGUAACUACAAUGGCCUGUUUUGUGGUGAGUAUUACAAUGUGAAUCAUGUCCUGUUGGAUCACUGGGUUACUACAACGGCCUGUUUUGUGGUUAGUAUUACAAUGUGAAUCAUGUCCUGUUGGAUCACAGAGUAACUACAAUGGCCUGUUUUGUGGUGAGUAUUACAAUGUGAAUCAUGUCCUGUUGGAUCACAGAGUAACUACAAUGGCCUGUUUAGUGGUGAGUAUUACAAUGUGAAUCAUGUCCUGUUGGAUCACUGGGUUACUACAACGGCCUGUUUUGUGGUAAGUAUUACAAUGUGAAUCAUGUCCUGUUGGAUCACAGAGUAACUACAAUGGCCUGUUUUGUGGUAAGUAUUACAAUGUGAAUCAUGUCCUGUUGGAUUACAGAGUUACUACAAUGGCCUGUUUUGUGGUGAGUAUUACAAUGUGAAUCAUGUCAUGUUGGAUCACUGAGAUACUACAAUGACCUGUUUUGUGGUGAGUAUUACAAUGUGAAUCAUGUCUUGUUUGAUCACUGAGUUACUACAAUGACCUGUUUUGUGGUGAGUAUUACAAUGUGAAUCAUGUCAUGUUGGAUCACUGAGUUACUACAAUGACCUGUUUUGUGGGGAGUAUAACAAUGUGAAUCAUGUCCUGUUGGAUCACAGAGUUACUACAACGGCAUGUUUUGUGGAAAGUAUUAUUUCCUUUGUUCUUUGGUAUUAUGAUAUAUCCUUAUAUUUUCUGUAGCAUGUCUUCCGUGAAAACUAGGUGAAAGACACUAAAGGGACAUUUUGGUUUUCUUUUCCUGUUUUGCUCUAAAUAUAACACGUUUGAAGUUCUUAUGCAAAUAUGUCUAAUGAACAUCUGUAGAAUUUUAUUUGAUAGUUUAAGCUCAAUGGGCCACAAAUGUGGUCUUCUCAUAUCUUCUUUGUAUUAAAACCUUUUAUGUCAUGUUUGUCAUUCCAUCAUUUUAUUAUGACAUAGAACAUGUUAACCUGUUUAUCUUAUUGUUGAAACUAUAAUAAACGAACUCUUUCCCUUCAAAUAUUUGUUUUAUUGAAAAACCGUAAAUGAUCGACCAGAAUUAAAAAAGAUGGUCAUAGUAUUACACAAUAGUUGUUUUACUCAUGCUUACAUGGAGUGAAAUUAUUUACUCUUUUUCAGGCAAACUCAUCAACAUACGUUUCUCUGGUAGCAUUACUGAAAACUUCAGCUAUGAUAAGGCGGUCAAUCUUUGCAAGCUGAAUGGUUCCAAUAUUGCAUCGACACAACUGUUCAAUCAAGCGCGUCAACUAGGUCAAACGUCAUGUGUUUGUGCCUGGAUGGAAGGAUCCCAGGUUGACUCGCUUACGUCAAGAAACAACUGUGUAAACAAAACGGCCUGUUCCACUUCGGGAAACAUCAAAUUCGUUCAUUGCACAACCAGUUUUUCCCCUUAA